rnacentral:rRNA from 1 species
GCAAGUCGAGCGACGCAUAUCGGAGGGGUAACCCACUGGUAUGACGGAGCGGCGAACGGGUGCGUAACACGUGAGCAACCUGCCCCACAGACCGGGAUAGCCCGAGGAAACUCGGAUUAACACCGGAUACUCUCACCGGACCGCAUGGCCUGGUGAGGAAAGACUUUUGUGCUGUGGGAUGGGCUCGCGGCCUAUCAGCUAGUUGGUGAGGUAAUGGCUCACCAAGGCAACGACGGGUAGCUGGUCUGAGAGGAUGAUC